rnacentral:rRNA from 1 species
AUUGAACGCUGGCGGCAGGCUUAACACAUGCAAGUCGAGCGGGGGAAGGUAGCUUGCUACCGGACCUAGCGGCGGACGGGUGAGUAAUGCUUAGGAAUCUGCCUAUUAGUGGGGGACAACAUCUCGAAAGGGAUGCUAAUACCGCAUACGUCCUACGGGAGAAAGCAGGGGAUCUUCGGACCUUGCGCUAAUAGAUGAGCCCAAGUCGGAUUAGCUAGUUGGUGGGGUAAAGGCCUACCAAGGCGACGAUCUGUAGCGGGUCUGAGAGGAUGAUCCGCCACACUGGGACU